GCUGGUGUGGUGCAGUGGUUUAAGUGUUGGACUAGGAAUCUAGAAGACCAGGGUUCAAAUCCCUGCUCUGCCA